AUGUUAGGUUCAAACCAUCACUUAACUCUAUCCAAAAUCUGCAACCCAGAUAAGCCAUCAUACUCAAGCCACUAUUCGACUCUGUCAACUAAAGACUUAGGGGACUUCUGUUUCAAGCAAGACUGUUUGUUGAUCCAAAUGACCAACACAACACAAGACAACUACCUCGUCUUCCUAGAAUUUCCAUCUUCAAUUGCUGUUACUGUUAAUGUCGUGAUUGAACAUUCGGAGCAUUUGGAUUAG